GAUGAAGAACGUAGCGAAAUGCGAUAAGUAAUGCGAAUUGCAGAAUUCAGUGAGUCAUCGAAUCUUUGAACGCACAUUGCGCCCGCCAGUAUUCUGGCGGGCAUGCCUGUCUGAGCGUCAUUUCAACCCUCAUGCCCCUAGGGCGUGGUGUUGGGGAUCGGCCAAAGCCCGCGAGGGACGGCCGGCCCCUAAAUCUAGUGGCGGACCCGUCGUGGCCUCCUCUGCGAAGUAGUGAUAUUCCGCAUCGGAGAGCGAUGAGCCCCUGCCGUUAAACCCCCAACUUUCCAAGGUUGACCUCAGAUCAGGUAGGAAUACCCGCUGAACUUAAGAAUAUCAAUAAGCGGAGGA
rnacentral:misc_RNA from 1 species